UUGUGGGAUUUUGUUGCUUUUAGUACUUCUCCAAAUUCUUUUUGUAGGGCAAAAACAGUCCUUAAGGGUAAGUCAAAACAAUUUGUCUUUAUUUUUUGAUUAAGAGUGAAUGAUUAGCGGCCAGAAUGCAUGUAAUACAAUAUAGUUUCCAAAGAUUUUGCUCCAGGUCCGUCAUUUCGGCCAAAGAAAAUUUUAGGGAUUUUUUCCCCUUGCUGGCUUUCAUUACUGAUCAACUGACGGUGUUGGAGACGGUGAAGACUGAACAUGACUAAUACAUUUCUAAAUAUCUUUCCAAGCAGAAGAGCAGCCCCCCCCCGAGAUCUCAUAAAACUUUAGACAGAAAACCCCCCUCUGCUUUGUGGGUGAGUGACAAAAGACGCAAAAGUUUACCAUCCUCCGCAGUUCUCUAGCUUCACAGGAGGGAGCCGAGUCAGCAGUGACUGACCCCCAGAGCACAUUUGAAGAAACAGGACAGGAGAGAGGGGGAGGUUGAGCAACUGAAGAAAAACAAUUCUUUACCCUGCUGAAAUGAUUCACACAGGAUAAAAGGUGUUUUACAAAAGAAAAGGAAACUAACAUGAAUUUUGACUUUUGAUGCCCUCAGAGACAGCAGUAGUGACGUGUCAUGCUCAGCCAUUCGGAGACCAAAACAGGAGGACGGGUGGAAAAAUCCUGGGAGAAGCAGGCCACCCAGGGGACCCCAGCAGCAGUUGGAAAUGGCAUCUAUGGCGCUCUGAACCCUGACAGCCCACAACGAGGUGCCCAACAGCAGAAUGUACAGACCAAGAGGCAGAGGGUCUGGAGGAAAAAUGAACAGUACCCAUGACCACUCCAAGCCCUCCUCCACCGUGGCGAGGACCACAGGGCAAGUCGGACAACACCACUUGAUGCAGGAGCCAUUGUCUUUUUCAAGCUCAAAGAUGGUGGAACAUUCAUGCGUGCAUUCACCAAACACGCCUGUGAAUCUGUUGGGAUGGGACAGUCUUGUCAAAACAGGAGACAGCAGACUGGAUGCCAUGCUGGACACCACAGCCGACCCCCACUGCAGACAUAUAAAGGGCCCUGAAAUUCCAGGUGGUUUCGUUAAUUUCAGGUUUGAAGCCUGGAUUCCUGUGUUUGAAGCCUCCGAAUGGUCUGACCUGUACACUCCAUUAUGACAGAGAGCAUGAUUAACAGUAAGAAGUAUUUCAGCAGGUAGAAGACCACACGUGGCAUUUGAACUACACUGACAUAUAUUAACCCUGAGGGCGAGCGGCUUAUUGUGCAUUCAUACACUCACAAAUGCAAUGAUACUAGCUGUCAGACACAGCUGUAUCUCACAUAGGAUUAGACUAAGCAGGACAUUAACAACACAUUGGUUAAGUUGUGUUUUUUCAGGUGUUCACUUUCCUCCCUCAAUAAAAAUGUACAGGUUCAUUUUGCCGUUCAACAACUGAGCAGAGAGGAGACGGCUCAUGAAGAUGCAGAGGUGAUGUUAAAACGCUCUCUGAUGCUUCGUGGUCCACAGGUUCAGUUGAUGUUGGUUCAUUUUUCAUCGUCCCCCCGGUGGUGAUCCAGGUAACUACAGGAGCACAGAUUUUAGAUCUCAGUGCAGCUGAGUGACUGAUGCAGAUGAAGGGAGGAAGGAAACUCAGUCUGGGCUGUGGAACUAUGGUGUCAUUGAAUAUUCGUAUUCUUCAUGGUGUACUUCUUUGAAACCGGUUUUAAAAGUAGAUGGAUUGCAUAUGAUUUAAGCUAAUGUUAAUUUGAGUUGAUGACGUCACCAUUAUUAUAAAACCUAUACGUCCCUGAUCCAUAUUGCAUGCUGUCACCUUUAACCUCACAAGGUGUGUUGUUUGUUGCUAUUGACUUAGCACACGUUUUCUUUUAAUGGAAUCAUUACAUAAAAAUAGCAGACCAUUGUUCGCAUUAUAGUACAGAGGGGUUCAUAAAAUCCUUCUUGCAUUUUUGAUCACUGUUUAAAGUCUCUCUGACAGAACAUUAUGCUAUAAAAGGUUUGUGUUUUCAUGAUGUAGGCUGAUGACCUCCUGCUGGCAGUACCAACUGCUGAACUCUGCCUGCAAUUAAUGAAAGAUCUUCUGUUGCAGUUGUAUUAUUUCUUCUUGUGACCUUGCCUUUUACAGGAGCGUGGACAGGACGCCUGUUCACCUUAUCUGUGCACCAAACUGUUGUUUUUAUGUUCUUGCUUUACAUUUAAUUCGUUUUAUGUGUUUGUCCUGGAGCUUAGCCCCAGGCCAAGAGAGGGAGGUAGACAAAAGAGGUCUUAAUGAUUAAAAGAAGGACAUUAUUUUAUUAUCGUUUAAAUGUAUUUGUCUAGAAAGAAUGUUUAAAUAGUAACACAGAUUGACCAUUUUUAAAAUUUUAAAGCUUUGUGUGUCCAUCUGAUUUUCUCUCAUCCACAGCAAGGAUGAGUAGGUUCUACGGCUGGGUCAUUAGACAACAGCCCAUAAUAAACUUUUCUUUUUCUUGAAUUUGUAUUUUCCCCACUUGUGUUCUUCAUAAAACACCACGAGGGGAAGCAGACCUUUGAGAAGAGAAAUGUGGUGGACCUUUUCCAUCAUAUUUUCUCUUACUGCGCAUGCGUAAAUUGAUUCUUGUCUCAUUGUCUUUUGUGUUUUAUUGUUUUUUAUUUUUUAAUUUCCGGACCCUAACACUAACAAAAACUUAGACCCACAGCAGAAUCAUCUUGGCAGAACAGUACCACAGCAGUGGACACCCCAAGUCCUUUUGCAGCCGUUCUGUUGAUUCACCAUGUGUCACAUCUCUGAUAACAGGCUUAUUGAGAAGUCCAUAGGAGGCCAGAUCCAAGCUUGCCAGAGCUUGUGGGACAUGCAGAAGGAGGACGCGAGUGUUCGAGGCCCGAAAUGACCUUUUUUGGACUUUGUUGCAUUUUAUAAAAUUGCUUACUGUUAUGUUUGACAAUUUUCUUUUUUCUUUUCGUCUGUGUGAUUUUGUUCUGCUUUAACAUUUCUCAAUUCCCCUCCUUAAUUCCAGGUGUUCCUUUUUCUUACAGGAAGUGCUAUUUUAUUGUCUUUAUCUUUUACUUUUUAGAAUAAUUUGAAUUUUUAUUUGUGCAUUUUCUUUAUUUACUAUUUCAUGUAUUGUUCUUUGUAAAUGCCAAUGUGCCAAAUAUCUAAUGAAGCAUAAGUAUCCUUAGGGAUGGUCGCUGAUGGGGCACAGGACCGUAGCGAGAAUUUUCCCUGUCCAACUGAACGUUUCUUAAAGAUGGUUAAUGCAAGCUCUGACAGGUUUUCGC